AAAGUACUCCCUCCGUCCCAAAAUUCUUGUCUUAGAUAUGUCUAGAUACGGAUGUAUCAAGUCACAUUUUAGUAUUAGAUACAUCCGUAUCUAGACAAAUCUAAGACAAGAAAUUUGGGACAGAGGGAGUAGUUG
rnacentral:pre_miRNA from 1 species